GACGAACGCUGGCGGCGUGCCUAAUACAUGCAAGUAGAACGCUGAAGGAGGAGCUUGCUUCUCUGGAUGAGUUGCGAACGGGUGAGUAACGCGUAGGUAACCUGCCUGGUAGCGGGGGAUAACUAUUGGAAACGAUAGCUAAUACCGCAUAAUAGUAGAUGUUGCAUGACAUUUACUUAAAAGGUGCAAUUGCAUCACUACCAGAUGGACCUGCGUUGUAUUAGCUAGUUGGUGGGGUAACGGCUCACCAAGGCGACGAUACAUAGCCGACCUGAGAGGGUGAUCGGCCACACUGGGACUGAGACACGGCCCAGACUCCUACGGGAGGCAGCAGUAGGGAAUCUUCGGCAAUGGACGAAAGUCUGACCGAGCAACGCCGCGUGAGCGAAGAAGGUUUUCGGAUCGUAAAGCUCUGUUGUAAGAGAAGAACGAGUGUGAGAGUGGAAAGUUCACACUGUGACGGUAUCUUACCAGAAAGAGACGGCUAACUACGUG
rnacentral:rRNA from 1 species